GGCAAGAAAAAAACAGCGGCAGCUUGCGCGGCCUGUAACCGCGUUGCCGGAGGUUCGACUCCUCCCCCUGCCC
rnacentral:tRNA from 1 species